rnacentral:rRNA from 1 species
GACGAACGCUGGCGGCGUGCUUAACACAUGCAAGUCGAGCGGUAAGGCCCUUUCGGGGGUACGACGAGCGGCGAACGGGUGAGUAACACGUGGGUGACCUGCCCUCAGCUCUGGGAUAAGCCUGGGAAACCGGGUCUAAUACCGGAUAUGACUCCAUGACGCAUGUUGUGGGGCGGAAAGCCUUGUGCGGCUGAGGAUGGGCCCGCGGCCUAUCAGCUUGUUGGUGGGGUGAUGGCCUACCAAGGCGACGACGGUAGCCGGCCUGAGAGGGCGACCGGCCACACUGGGACUGAGACACGGCCCAGACUCCUACGGGAGGCAGCAGUGGGGAAUCUUGCGCAAUGGGCGAAAGCCUGACGCAGCGACGCCGCGUGAGGGAUGACGGCCUGGUGUAAC